AGUAGAACAACAACCACAGUAAAAACCCCCCCAAUUAAUCUCACUCAUGGGUGCAAACUUACUCCAUCCCACCGACGUCAAAAACUAACCUGCUCGACCUAUCUUCCCCACGUGGCUAGAUCAUCAUCAUCGGCCGAUUUGCAUUCAUUGCCGCCUGAUUGGCCUCGUGGUUCGUGAAGAUCAAGCGUUUUGAUGGCAAUGCAGCUCUUGUUGUGCGACUGAUCGAUACAGAGAGGCGGUGUUUUUAGUUGUUGAAUGAUUUGUUGGUAAUUGUUAGGCGAUGUCUGGACCACUCGAUCGAUUUGCGAGGCCUUGUAAGUGUAUAAUUCGUUUGUUUAAGACUGUUGCUUGAUGCUUUUGAAAUGUGAAAUUGUGAAUUACUUAUCUUGAUGCGAGUUGUGUUUGAUU